GACAACGUGGCCGAGCGGUUAAGGCGAUUGACUAGAAUCAGCUUCUAAGACUCUCGUCUAACAUCAAUUGGGAUUUUCCCGCGUAGGUUCAAAUCCUGCCGUUGUCG
rfam:Puccinia graminis f. sp. tritici CRL 75-36-700-3 supercont2.95 genomic scaffold, whole genome shotgun sequence.